GGAGAAAUGGCAGAGUGGUCGAAUGCACUGGUCUUGAAAACCAGCGUGCCGCAAGGUACCGGGGGUUCGAAUCCCUCUUUCUCCG
rnacentral:tRNA from 1 species